rnacentral:lncRNA from 1 species
GAUGGAAAGAAUGCCUGGUACUCGCUCAACUAGCAAUCACAUCUCAUCCUCCCCUAAUCUAAGUAAUGAUGGCACGGCACGGCUUAUAGACUGGGGUACACUAACUGAAGAUCCUGCCUCAGGCUCUGAUAUAAAAUGAACAUCAGGACUCGACCUGAGCUCAGGUGGUGAUGAGGGACCCUCCCCCUCAGCAUGCUCCUUUUUCUCCUCCUCCACUGCAAC